rnacentral:rRNA from 1 species
AUACGUAGGGAGCGAGCGUUGUCCGGAAUUACUGGGCGUAAAGGGCGCGUAGGCGGCGCUUCAAGUCGUCUGUCAAAUGGGAGGGCUUAACCCUUUUUCGCAGACGAAACUGGAGAGCUUGAGAAGCAGAGAGGCAAACAGAAUUCCUGGUGUAGCGGUGAAAUGCGUAGAUAUCAGGAAGAAUACCAGUGGCGAAGGCGGUUUGCUGGCUGCAUACUGACGCUGAAGCGCGAAAGCCAGGGGAGCGAACGGGAUUAGAUACCCCGGUAGUCCUGGCAGUAAACGAUGUAUGCUGGGUGUGAGACUAGCGAUAGUUUCGUGCCGAAGUCAACGCGAUAAGCAUACCGCCUGGGGAGUACGGUCGCAAGAUUGAAACUUAAAGGAAUUGACGGGG